rnacentral:rRNA from 1 species
AGUGAACGCUGGCGGUAGGCCUAACACAUGCGAGUCGAACGGCAGCACAGUAAGAGCUUGCUCUUACGGGUGGCGAGUGGCGGACGGGUGAGGAAUACAUCGGAAUCUACUUUUUCGUGGGGGAUAACGUAGGGAAACUUACGCUAAUACCGCAUACGACCUACGGGUGAAAGCAGGGGAUCUUCGGACCUUGCGCGAUUGAAUGAGCCGAUGUCGGAUUAGCUAGUUGGCGGGGUAAAGGCCCACCAAGGCGACGAUCCGUAGCUGGUCUGAGAGGAUGAUCGGCCACACUGGAACUGAGACACGGUCCAGCCUCCUACGGGAGGCAGCAGUGGGGAAUAUUGGACAAUGGGCGCAAGCCUGAUCCAGCCAUACCGCGUGGGUGAAGAAGGCCUUCGGGUUGUAAAGCCCUUUUGUUGGGAAAGAAAAGCAGCAGGUUAAUACCCCGCUGUUCUGACGGUACCCAAAGAAUAAGCACCGGCUAACUUCGU